GACCCGUCUUGAACCACGGAGUCUAGCAUGUGCGCAAGUCAUUGGGACUUAAUAAACCUAAAGGCGUAAUGAAAGUAAAGAUUCACCUACCCAAGUGAAUUUAGGGAAGAUGUAUAAUCCUAAUGAUUGUACCGCAUUCCCAGGACGUCUCAUAUUCAUUGCGAAUAGAGGCGUACCAAGAGCGUACACGCUGGGACCCGAAAGAUGGUGAACUAUGCCUGGUCAGGUCGAAGUCAGGGGAAACCCUGAUGGAGGACCGUAGCGAUUCUGACGUGCAAAUCGAUCGUCGGAACUGGGUAUAGGGGCGAAAGACUAAUCGAACCAUCUAGUAGCUGGUUCCUUCCGA
rnacentral:rRNA from 1 species